GCCCCAUUCGUCUAAAGGUUAGGACGACGCUUUUUCAUGGCGUCAAUAUGGGUUCGAGUCCCAUAUGGGGUU
rnacentral:tRNA from 1 species